rnacentral:rRNA from 1 species
UACGUAGGGUGCAAGCGUUGUCCGGAAUUAUUGGGCGUAAAGAGCUCGUAGGCGGUUUGUCGCGUCGGUCGUGAAAACUUUCAGCUUAACUGGGAGCUUGCGGUCGAUACGGGCAUCACUGGAGUUCGGCAGGGGAGACUGGAAUUCCUGGUGUAGCGGUGAAAAUGCGCAGAUAUCAGGAGGAACACCGGUGGCGAAGGCGGGUCUCUGGGCCGAUACUGACGCUGAGGAGCGAAAAGCGUGGGGGAGCGAAACAGG